rnacentral:rRNA from 1 species
UACCAUUUAAAUCUCUUAACGAGGAUCAAUUGGAGGGCAAGUCUGGUGCCAGCAGCCGCGGUAAUUCCAGCUCCAAUAGCGUAUAUUAAAGUUGUUGCAGUUAAAAAGCUCGUAGUUGGAUUUCUGGUGGGAGCACGGGUCGGCCCUCGGGUUGUACUGUUGUUGCGUCCUGCCGUUUCGGAGGGAAUGGCCUCGCUAUUAAGUUAGCGUGGUCUGUAACUCUGUCGUUUACUGUGAAAAAAUUAGAGUGUUCAAAGCAGGCCUUCGCUGUGAAUACAUUAGCAUGGAAUAAUAAGAUAGGACUGUAGUGCUAUUUUGUUGGUUUGCGUACUAUGGUGAUGAUUAAUAAGGAUAGUUGGGGGUAUUCAUAUUCAAUUGUCAAAGGUGAAAUUCCUGGAUUUAUGGAAGAUGAACUACUGCGAAAGCAUUUACCAAGGAUGUUUUCAUUUAUCAAUAACGAAAGUUAGGGGAUCGAAGAUGAUUAGAUACCAUCGUUAUCUU